UACGUAGGGUGCGAGCGUUGUCCGGAAUUAUUGGGCGUAAAGAGCUCGUAGGCGGCUUGUCGCGUCGGAUGUGAAAGCCCGGGGCUUAACUCCGGGUCUGCAUUCGAUACGGGCAGGCUAGAGUUCGGUAGGGGGGAUCGGAAUUCCUGGUGUAGCGGUGAAAUGCGCAGAUAUCAGGAGGAACACCGGUGGCGAAGGCGGAUCUCUGGGCCGAUACUGACGCUGAGGAGCGAAAGCGUGGGGAGCAAACAGG
rnacentral:rRNA from 1 species